GCCCUUGUGGCUCAGUGGUUAAGUGCUCAGUUGCUAACUGAAAGAUCAGUGAUUCAAACUCACCCAGUGGCU
rnacentral:tRNA from 1 species